rnacentral:rRNA from 1 species
UACAGAGGGUGCAAGCGUUAAUCGGAAUUACUGGGCGUAAAGCGCGCGUAGGUGGUUUGUUAAGUUGGAUGUGAAAGCCCCGGGCUCAACCUGGGAACUGCAUUCGGGACUGCAUUGCUAGAAUAUGGGAGAGGGAAGUGGAAUUUCAGGUGUAGCGGUGAAAUGCGUAGAUAUCUGAAGGAACAUCAGUGGCGAAAGCGACUUCCUGGACCAAUACUGACGCUCAUGUGCGAAAGCGUGGGGAGCAAACAGG